UACGGGGGGGGCAAGCGUUGUUCGGAAUUACUGGGCGUAAAGCGCUCGCAGGUGGCCCGAUGCGUCGUGCGUGAAAGACCCCGGCUCAACUGGGGGGUGUCGUGCGAUACGGUCGGGCUGGAGGCCAGUAGGGGGAUGCGGAAUUCCGGGUGUAGUGGUGGAAUGCGUAGAGAUCCGGAGGAACACCAGCGGCGAAGGCGGCAUCCUGGACUGGUCCUGACACUCAUGAGCGAAAGCGUGGGGAGCGAUCCGG
rnacentral:rRNA from 1 species